UUUGGUCUCUUCUCUUGCAGGUAUGUCAACUCUUAGAACGCUCUUGUCAAUCAGUGUAGCCCAUGAGGUCUCCAAGUUCACUGUGAUGUAGUCCUAAGGAACAGGAGAUAAGAGUGACCUUGCAGGUGACAUUUGUAUUCCUGAAUGAAAACCACAUUCGCCCGACUCUGCAAAGGGAGGAGGCAGGGGCAGAAGAGAAACCCUUUUGUUCUUCUCCUCGUGGUUCCCCCUCACCUGCCAGGGCCAAACUCCAGAACAAUUCCUAGCAGCUGAGGUUAGCUGGGGACAUCUAAUCCUGGUAAGCUGGCUCUGAAUUCCAGCACACAACAUUUGAGUUUCAUCAUCAGGCAUUUUCAUCUAAUUCCUCCAGACUUCAGGAGUGUGAGUAUAUCUGUAAUGCAUUUGUCAGGAUUCCCACUCUGGAAAAGAAGAUCAGGGCAAACAGGGACUGAGGAGAACAAAAGCUGACCCAAACCUUUGACCUAAACUUAACAUAAGGCCAAAUGAAACCUUAGAGGUUUGUAAAUGUUCAUGAAGCAUUUCUACCUCCUGCUCCCCCCUCCUUUAUCUUCAGUUUCUUUAUACUUCCACACUUACUGUUUCUAAUUGCAAGUCUAAUGUAAAGCCCCACUAAAUUAAUGGAAAGGCUCUCACUGGUUUUUAGAGGCUAUUGAUUGAGCCUGCCAGAGAAAGGAGAUAAUUUAUUUAAUGAAAGUACCUUUAAACUUGAGAGAAAACAAAACCUGAAAAGAGAUAAGGAAAACCAGAGGUCAGAUGCAAUUUUCCAGCUAGCAGCACAUGUUCUUGAUCUGAACCACACCCAUGAAAUUGAUAUGGGUAUUGUUAACCCAGGAAAAAAAAUCACUGCACAGAAACAGAGAAUCACAGUGAACUGUUUAAUAAGCUAUAAUGGUUUAAUAUAUAUUUGUAUAUAUCAUAUAUAUAAUAAAAUACAAGUGUUUAGUAAGCUGCAAACCCAUGGCGUUUUGCCUGUGUUUACUGUCAGCUUGCACUGUAGAACAAUACAACUGGUAAUCAGCUGGCAUUUGUGACCUGAAGUUUCCAUUUAUACGUGUGAGAUUGAAUCUUCCCCUUGUUACCCACACUGCAACAGAAAUGUCAAUCCUAUGGAAACUUUAUUAGGAAAAUAAUACUCUGCUGCUGAUAAAGUUUUUAACUUUCUAGGUGACUUUUGUUAGAAGGGGGUAGAAAUGUGGCUGUUUAUAGGGCUUAAUAUCACCUGAGCUUCCCUGAAUGAAGCAUUAGAUGGUCAGAAUAAAAGCAUUCUUAUCUGAGUUACAUUCAGGAUUCACAGAUGAGGGACUUGUGGAAGGCUGGUGAAACCAGCUCAAGCAGAAAUUAAGCCAUGGCUUUUCUUGGAAAGCUGUUGUUACACUGUCAUUUAGCAGUGACAGCUCCGAUGGACUGGUGUUGUCAGUUCAGAGCCUGGUCUCUAAAGUGCUGACCUGCCUCAAGAUCCUGUUUUGCACGUACAGAUUGAGUGUUUUGUGUGUGCAGACUCAUAUGGCUGCAUGUUUUACUUGUGAAUACAUGCACAGCUUAUCUAGAGAAUUGUUUCCCAAUACUUGUGUAACAGUUCUGAUUUUCCCAGUCAGUGGGUAGAUACACACAGAACAGUGUGUGUUCCAGAAGCUGUUACUCAGUCUUAAUAGGAAACACAGAUGUGGGAAGUGGUCCUAGGA